GUGCCAGCCGCCGCGGUAAUACGUAUGUCGCAAGCGUUAUCCGGAUUUAUUGGGCGUAAAGCGCGUCUAGGUGGUUAUAAGUCUGAUGUGAAAAUGCGGGGCUCAACUCCGUAUUGCAUUGGAAACUGGUAGACUAGAGUACUGGAGAGGUAGCGGAAUUACAAGUGUAGAGGUGAAAUUCGUAGAUAUUUGUAGGAAUGCCGAUGGGGAAGCCAGCCUACUGGACAGAUACUGACGCUGAAGCGCGAAAGCAUGGGGAGCAAACAGGAUUAGAUACCCUGGUAGUCCAUGCCGUAAACGAUGAUUACUAGGUGUUGGGGUCGAACCUCAGCGCCCAAGCUAACGCGAUAAGUAAUCCGCCUGGGAGUACGUACGCAAGUAUGAAACUCAAAGGAAUUGACGGGACCCGCACAAGCGGUGGAGCAUGUGGUUAAUUCGACGCAACGCGAGGAACCUUACCAGCGUUUGACAUCCUAAUAAGAUUUUAGAGAUAAGAUUGUGCCACUUCGGU
rnacentral:rRNA from 1 species